rnacentral:rRNA from 1 species
UACGUAGGGAGCAAGCGUUGUCCGGAAUCAUUGGGCGUAAAGCGCGCGUAGGCGGCCCGAUAAGUCCGCUGUGAAAGUCAACGGCUCAACUGUUGGAUGCCGGUGGAUACUGUCGGGCUAGAGUACGGAAGAGGCAAGUGGAAUUCCUGGUGUAGCGGUGGAAUGCGCAGAGUAUCAGGAGGAACACCUAUAGCGAAGGCAGCUUGCUGGGACGUUACUGACGCUAAGGCGCGAAAGCGUGGGGAGCGAACAGGA